rnacentral:rRNA from 1 species
CUUCGGGAAACCGGAGCUAAUACCGGAUAAUAUUUUGAACCGCAUGGUUCAAAAGUGAAAGACGGUCUUGCUGUCACUUAUAGAUGGAUCCGCGCUGCAUUAGCUAGUUGGUAAGGUAACGGCUUACCAAGGCAACGAUGCAUAGCCGACCUGAGAGGGUGAUCGGCCACACUGGAACUGAGACACGGUCCAGACUCCUACGGGAGGCAGCAGUAGGGAAUCUUCCGCAAUGGGCGAAAGCCUGACGGAGCAACGCCGCGUGAGUGAUGAAGGUCUUCGGAUCGUAAAACUCUGUUAUUAGGGAAGAACAUAUGUGUAAGUAACUGUGCACAUCUUGACGGUACCUAAUCAGAAAGCCACGGCUAACUACGUGCCAGCAGCCGCGGUAAUACGUAGGUGGCAAGCGUUAUCCGGAAUUAUUGGGCGUAAAGCGCGCGUAGGCGGUUUUUUAAGUCUGAUGUGAAAGCCCACGGCUCAACCGUGGAGGGUCAUUGGAAACUGGAAAACUUGAGUGCAGAAGAGGAAAGUGGAAUUCCAUGUGUAGCGGUGAAAUGCGCAGAGAUAUGGAGGAACACCAGUGGCGAAGGCGACUUUCUGGUCUGUAACUGACGCUGAUGUGCGAAAGCGUGGGGAUCAAACAGGAUUAGAUACCCUGGUAGUCCACGCCGUAAACGAUGAGUGCUAAGUGUUAGGGGGUUUCCGCCCCUUAGUGCUGCAGCUAACGCAUUAAGCACUCCGCCUGGGGAGUACGACCGCAAGGUUGAAACUCAAAGGAAUUGACGGGGACCCG